CUGGCUCAGAACGAACGCUGGCGGCGCGUCUUAAGCAUGCAAGUCGAACGGCAAGAGGUAGCAAUACCUCCUAGAGUGGCGGACUGGUGAGUAACACGUGGGUGACAUACCCUUCAGAUGGGGAUAGCUAUUAGAAAUAGUAGAUAAUACCGAAUACGAGCACAGGGGUUAGAGAUCUGUGAGGAAAGGAGCUAAGGCUCCGCUGAAGGAAUGGCCUGCGGCCCAUUAGCUAGUUGGUGAGGUAAGAGCCCACCAAGGCGAUGAUGGGUAUCCGGCCUUAGAGGGUGAACGGACACAUUGGGACUGAGAUACGGCCCAGACUCCUACGGGAGGCAGCAGCUAAGAAUAUUCCGCAAUGGACGAAAGUCUGACGGAGCGACGCCGCCGUGGAUGAAGAAGGCCGGAAGGUUGUAAAAUCCUUUUGAAACUGAAGAAUAAGCGUUGUAGGGAAUGACAGCGUGGUGACAGUAGGUUUUGAAUAAGCAACGGCUAAUUACGUGCCAGCCGCGGC
rnacentral:rRNA from 1 species